rnacentral:rRNA from 1 species
UGGGGAAUUGUUCGCAAUGGGCGAAAGCCUGACGACGCAACGCCGCGUGGAGGACGAAGAUCUUCGGGUCGUAAACUCCUUUCGAUCGGGAAGAAUGGCUUCCGGGUUAACAGCCCGGAGGACUGACGGUACCGAGAGAUGAAGCCCCGGCUAACUCUGUGCCAGCAGCCGCGGUAAUACAGGGGGGGCAAGCGUUGUUCGGAAUUACUGGGCGUAAAGGGCUCGUAGGCGGCCAACUAAGUCCGACGUGAAAUCCCCAGGCUCAACCUGGGAACUGCGUCCGAUACUGGCAGGCUUGAAUCCGGGAGAGGGAUGUGGAAUUCCAGGUGUAGCGGUGAAAUGCGUAGAUAUCUGGAGGAACACCGGUGGCGAAGGCGGCAUCCUGGACCGGUAUUGACGCUGAGGCGCGAAAGCUAGGGGAGCAAA